CAGGUUCACCUCCUCAGCCACCUACCGGCAGAAGGAGAGUCGGGUGAUGAGGCACACAGCCAGCAACACCAGGAACACGGCAAAUGCCCAGGCAGCACCUGUCAGCUGGAACAUGGACCUAUUUGAUGAAUUAUCUGAGACCUGAGUGGGCAGCAGAUGGCCACCAGUCUGUCGUAGGAGAGGAUGGUGAGGUUGAAGGACUGCAUGGUGAGGAAGAGGAAGAUGAAGAAGAGGCUAGUGAGGCACUGGUUGUAGGAGAUGAGCUGUCUGCUGAACAGGAACAUAUCCAGUAGCUUGGGGACCAUGGCAGUGCUCCCACACACGUCCGCGAAGGCCAGGUUGAACACAGCAACGUACUUGGGGCUGUAAGGAGUCAGAGGCUUGAAGACGUGUACCUCACACCUGAUUCUUGUAGCCAUAUUCUACCUGCCUAUUAAUAUCACCUACCUCCUUCACCCAAUCAUACCAACCAACGCCCGGAUAUUCAACCUCUCCCUGACCUCGGUGCUGCCGCCCAUGCUCAACCCCAUCGUAUAUGUUCUGAAGACAGAGGAGUUUAAGGAAUCGGCCAAGAAGCUGCUUAGUAAGAGGAGCACAGAGAGCUCUAGUGCCGAUCCAAUCAACAUGAAGUGUUACUAUUUAUUUAUAUCUCUAUUUGACUUGUUUUUGAUUGAAAUGCUGUGUAAGAUAUACUGUAUCUGCUAAAGUGAAUAAUUGUUUCAAUUAAAUGUAAAAUUGUUUUUCUUCUAAAUUAAAUAUUUAUAUUA